rnacentral:sRNA from 12 species
CCCUUGGUGAAGAGUCGCCGAUUGUGGCGGCCUGCUCAGGACGAAUGAUCUGAGCUAGCCAAGGGGGUUUU